rnacentral:rRNA from 1 species
AGUGAACGCUGGCGGUAGGCCUAACACAUGCAAGUCGAACGGCAGCACAGUAAGAGCUUGCUCUUACGGGUGGCGAGUGGCGGACGGGUGAGGAAUACAUCGGAAUCUACUUUUUCGUGGGGGAUAACGUAGGGAAACUUACGCUAAUACCGCAUACGACCUACGGGUGAAAGCAUGGGAUCUUCGGACCUUGCGCGAUUGAAUGAGCCGAUGUCGGAUUAGCUAGUUGGCGGGGUAAAGGCCCACCAAGGCGACGAUCCGUAGCUGGUGUGAGAGGAUGAUAAGCCGCACUGGGAGUGAGACAGGGUACAGAGUCAUAGGGGAGGGAGCAGGGGGGAAUAUUGGAGAAUGGGUGGAAGCCAGAUCCAGCCAUACCGAGUGGGUGAAGAAGGCCUUCGGGUGGGAAAGCCCUUUUGUUGGGAAAGAAAAGCAGCAGGUUAAUACCCCGCUGUUCUGACGGUACCCAAAGAAUAAGCACCGGCUAACUUCGUG